rnacentral:rRNA from 1 species
UUCCUACGGGAGGCUGCAGUGGGGAAUCUUGCGCAAUGGGCGAAAGCCUGACGCAGCGACGCCGCGUGAGUGAUGAAGGCCUUCGGGUUGUAAAGCUCUGUGGGGAGAGACGAAUAAGUGCGGGCUAAUACUCCGCAUGAUGACGGUAUCUCCUUAGCAAGCACCGGCUAACUCUGUGCCAGCAGCCGCGGUAAGACAGAGGGUGCAAACGUUGUUCGGAAUUACUGGGCGUAAAGCGAGUGUAGGCGGUUUUGUAAGUCGGGUGUGAAAGCCCUGGGCUCAACCCAGGAAGUGCACUCGAAACUGCAAGGCUAGAGUAUCGGAGAGGUUGGUGGAAUUCUCGGUGUAGAGGUGAAAUUCGUAGAUAUCGAGAGGAACACCGGUGGCGAAGGCGGCCAACUGGACGAAUACUGACGCUGAGACUCGAAAGCGUGGGGAGCAAACAGGAUUAGAUACCCCAGUAGUC